CAAUAGCGUAUAUUAAAGUUGUUGCGGUUAAAAGCUCGUAGUUGGAUUUCUGCUUGGGACGACCGGUCCGCCCUCAGGGGUGAGUAUCUGGCUUGGCCCGGGCAUCUUCUUGGGGAACGUUACUGCACUUGACUGUGUGGUGCGGGAGCCCAGGACCUUUACUUUGAGGAAAUUAGAGUGUUUCAAGCAGGCGUUUGCCUUGAAUACAUUAGCUAUGGAAUAAUAAGAUAGGACCUCGUCCCUACCUUGUUGGUUCGUAGAGAUGAGGUAAUGAUUAAUAGGGAUAGUCGGGGCAGUUCGUACUUAACUGUCAGAGGUGAAAUUCUUGGAUUUGUUAAAAGACGGACUACUGCGAAAAGCAUUUGCCAAGGAUGUUUUCAUUGAUCAAAGAAC
rnacentral:rRNA from 1 species